rnacentral:rRNA from 1 species
GACGAACCGUGCGAACGUUGUUCGGAAUCACUGGGCUUAAAGGGCGCGUAGGCGGGCUGCCAAGUCUGGGGUGAAAUCCUUCGGCUCAACCGGAGAACGGCCUCAGAUACUGGCGAUCUCGAGGAGGGUAGGGGCAUGCGGAACUAUGGGUGGAGCGGUGAAAUGCGUUGAUAUCCAUAGGAACUCCGGUGGCGAAGGCGGCGUGCCUGGACCCUUUCUGACGCUGAGGCGCGAAAGCCAGGGGAGCAAACGGG